CGCCCCGCGGGAGCCCCCGGGAGCCCGGACGGCGCCCAGGCCUAGGCAGCACCGAGAGGCCGGGCUCCUGCCGGGCAGGACGCGGGAGGCCCGGCGGGGCGGAACCCAGAGCUCACCAUCCCUGGCCGCAGGGACACCGAGGGCGCCAAGGAAGCAGUGGGGAGCCCAGGACACGACCGCGGACUGGAGGGGCCGCCGCCGGGCUCAGUCUCCCAAACCCGCCGCGGGGUCGGGCCGGGCCGCCCCGGCGGCCGACAGCCGGAGAUCGUGCCCCGGGGGCCCCGGCGGCCGUCCUGCCGCCCUGCUGCGUCCACCGAGAGACUCCGGGGCCUCCCGCGGGCGGGCGGGCAGCCGGAGCGGGCUCCUGGACCCGUGCGGAAGGACAUUCGUCUUCUUCCAGGAGCUGAGAUGCGUGCCCUGAGUUCCUGGCGACGGACGCUGCUGGAGCCUGGUCCCGCGCGCCCUCUAGGGCUUCCUGGGCUGCGUAUUAGCCCUGCUGAGACACCCAGGAUGCUGGCUCAGUAUGGGGCAGAGCCAGCUUCGUGAGCCCAGCCGGACUAAAUCCAGUUUGCACCCACUGUCUGUGCUUCAAAGUUGGGCUCCUGGCUCCUAGCCCCACCCACACAGCAGACAGCCCCUUUCUACCUCCUGGCUCCCUCCAGCUGAGGACCUCAGAGCCCACAGGCAAGGAACCCUCUCUACAGGUCAGCUUUUUACUAUUCCAUCGAAAGCCGAAAGCCAUAGCCCUUCUUCCAAAUCCGGCCUGAAUUUGCAGCUAUGGACCCUUCUUCUGUCUGAGGCAGUGACAGACACAGGCUGGGUGGCCAGGUGACGACUGAUGGUCUGGAUGGGUCUGCUGGCUGACUGGCUUCCCGGGAGGCAGAGGGGAGUUUCUAGACAAGGCAUCUGCACUCUCCUCCACCUUCUCCUGCACCUGUGGCCCUGGCAGCCUCCAGGGACACCUGCUGGAGACCUACUGCAGAGGCGACCCUCCUCCUCAAGACCUCUCCGCCACAGGUGCUCAGUGGUGAGUGGAGGUCGUGAGGCCACCUUGGAACUGUGCCCUCAUUGGCCACAAAGUUAAAUAAAAUGGUUGCAUUGUAGUGAU
rnacentral:lncRNA from 1 species